rnacentral:misc_RNA from 1 species
CUAAGCCGAUGGUUAAAUAGAAGAUUUUAUUGGUCGGCUACCCUUAAAUACGUGUUAGUCGCGCAAUAUUGCAAUCAAUAGGCGGUUGGCGAUAUGGUUCGGGUGGCCGGUUCUUAUGGGGAAAAGGUAUCGAUGGUUCAUCGACUAACGCGGUCAAGGAAUGUAGAUAGAGAUUUUGCAAGAAUCCUCGAUCUAAAGAAUUCUUAGAAUAUAUUCGUGGGACGAAUUUACGAUGCAGUGUAUACGUUACGAUGUAAUUUACAUAGCUUGAUACAUAGAAUUUAAAAUAUACUGAAACAAAGA